UUUGAUAUUAUGAACGUGUUUCUAGCAUAACUUAUAAUAAUAUAUUGUAACGACCCAAUUUUCAAGAGAUUUUUUUUUCAUUUUUGAUUAACCAAAAUACUUCCCACAAACCAUGAAAUCCCAAAUACAAUUGUUUUCAAAAUUCAUAUCAAUUACAAUUUUAUUCCAAAUCAUCAGAGUGUCCCAUAAAACGCCUGAGAGAGAGUGCAUGCUGUGACAUCAAGCCUUGCCCUUGCCCUUAGGCUCACAUGUACCUGAAACAAAUCCACAAACUGUAAGCUAAUGCUUAGUGAGUUCCCCAGAGCAUACCACACACACAAUCCACAUAACACAUAUCAUAUUAGCUAUAAAAGCUACAUAUAUCACAUAUUCCAUGCAUACAUACAUAUAAGGAUGCCAUGGGCUCCCCCCCCACAUGGUCUUAUACCAAUGUGCCAUGGGCUCCCCCAUGGUCUUUAACCAACAAGCCAUGUGUUCCCCCGCAUGGUCUUUCAUUCGACUGUCAUGGGCUCCCCUAUGGUCUUUAACUAUCAAGCCACGGGCACCCCCACAUGGUCUUCUCCAAGUGCCAUGGACCCCCCCCCAUGGUCUUCCCUGCAAGUAUCAUAUAAUCACUAGCAUACCACUUAGCAUAUAGCUUACUAUCAUAACACAUAUCUCUACUACAGCUAGUGUACCGCAUAUCAUAAAAUGGGCCGGUCUUGGUACCUUAGACCCAUUGGUAUGGUGAGGAGACUCACCUCUCGAAUGCUGAACUGACAAGCUAAGAUUAGAUAUAUCCCACACACUUCUCCAACUCAAUCGCCUAUAAUCAACAUGUGAUUAUCUUGUCAAAAUCUCAAAAUACCAUAAAUACCCUCAAAGUCCACCCUGGUUAAAGUAAAGGUCAACAGUCCAUGUUGACCUCAACUCGUCGAGUGCCUCUAGUAACUCGUCGAGUUCCUCCUGAGUCCAUUCCACUUAAUCCUGAUUCAACUCGCCGAGUCACCUAAGUGACUCGUUGAGUUCAUCCAAUGUCCAGAAAACCAAAAUUUCAUUCACACCAACACUCUAAUCCUUCACUACGCUCAUUCAGAAACUCAAAAAUGAGUAAACCCUACCCCGAAUCCUCGAGUCAACCAAUAGACUCGACGAGUUCCUUCAGUCCUUUUGUGUUCACUCUUUUUUUGUUCAGUGGGAUCUAAGGUCCCAAACUUCAGAUCCAACUUCCCUUAGUGCAACAUGCAAGGCCUCCCAAGGCUAUAACAUCAAAACGAAGCUUCCUACAAGGUUUUAGUGCAUGGAAAGGGCCUAAGCUGAAUAAAGUGAGAAACUUUAUGUCAUUGAGGACCUAGAGAUGCCCAGAUAUGGAACCAUAUCCUUUUUAUAAGUCCAAAUGCGAGUAUGACCUCAUUUUGCACCAAAAGUGACCAUAUUCUUCUAUAAAAGGAGAUCUAAGCAAAUAGAGAUCAAGUUAAUAACUUUUACCUCUAAAUGGAUGCUAGCAACAAGUAGAUGUUGGAUCCAAAGCCUUCUCCUUUCUUCAAUCUCCUCAACAUUCAAUUUUCCUUCUUAAAAGCACAAGUUCCACCCUCCAAGGCUCACAUACACUCAAGGAAGCACCAAAAUGCGGCUAGGGUUUCUUUCUAGACUAUAAGAAUGAUGAAGGAGGCUACAAAUGAGCCAUAAGUUCUUUAAAUAGGGUACCAACCCCUAAAAAUUAGGGUUUCCCUCUACAACGCCUACUCGUUGAGUCGGGGCCUUCUUAAUCGUUGAGUAGGUUCUAAGUAAUGCGUCCACAUAAAUGAUCUCUAAUCGACGAGUUGGAGCUCCCCAACUCGCCAAGUCCAUACACAAAACCCUAAAAAAAUAGAUAACUUAAUUAAUACCUGGAACAAGUGUUACAAAUCUCCCCCACUUAAACUAGACUUCGUCCUCGAAGUCUGCUGAUGUGAACAAGUUCGGGUAGUGAUCUCGCAUCUCAUCCUUCGGAUCCCAUGUCCAUUCGGAGCCCCUUCGGUGCUGCCAUUGCACCUUUACUAGCUUCACCUCCUUCUUCCGAAGAACCUUGGUCUUCCUAUCAAGAAUCACAAUAGGCAUAUCAAUGUAGUUCAUGCUCUCGUCCACCUGAAUGUCAUCCAAAGAAACGAAUGCGGCCUCAUCUGUGACACACUUCCGAAGCUGUGACACAUGGAAGGUGUUGUUAAUCUGGCUAAGCUCAUCCGACAGAUCCAAACGAUAGGCCACUUUGCCCACCCGGGGCGUAAUGCUGAACGGUCCAAUAUAUCGGGGCUCCAACUUGCCUCUCUUCCGAAACCUGAUGACUCCCUUCCAUGGCAACGCCUUUAGUAACACGAAGUCCCCCACCUAGAACUCAAGAUCCGAUUGUCGCCGAUCAACAUAGCUUUUCUUACGGCUCUGUGUGACUUGUAGCCAGUCACGCACCUGCUGAAGCAGCCCGGUAGUCUUGAGCACUACCUCAGUGCUCCCCAUGACUCGAUGUCCAACCUCACCCCAGCAAACCAGGGUCCUACAUCUCCUACUAUAUAGCAUCUCAAACGGAGGUCGGUCGAUACUGGCAUGGUAACUAUUGUAUGAAAACUCUGCCAAUGGGAGGUAUGUAUCCCAAAUCCCUCCAAAAUCCAACACGCAUGCCCGAAGCAUAUCCUCAAGUGUUUGGAUCGUCCUCUCACCCUGGCCAUCUGUAUGGGGGUGGUAUGUCGUGCUAAAAUGCAACUGAGUGCCCAGUUCCUCGUGGAACUUCUUCCAGGAUCUAGAUGUAAAUCAAACAUCACUAUCAGAGACUACCGACACUGGCACCCCGUGUCUAGCCAGCACCUCUCGUACAUAAAUAUCAACCAACUUUUCAGCGGAUAUACUCUUAGAGAUCGGAAUAAAGGUGGCACUCUUCUCAACCUGUCCACAAUCACCCAUAUGGCGUCCACACCCCUCGAUGUCCUCGGUAACUUCGUGGUGAAGUCCAUAGUGAUCUCUUCACACUUCCAUAUGGGAAUGGGUAGAUGAUGAACCUUUCCAUACGGCUGCUGAUGUUCAGCAUUGAACUUCCUGCAGGUCAAGCACUGCUCUAUGAACUAGGCGAUCUCCCUCUUCAUGCAGGGCCACCAAUAGCUCAGUUUCAGAUCUCUAUACAUUUUCGUAGCCUCCGUAUGUAUAGAGAACUUGGACUUGUGUGCCUCCUCUGAUAUCUUUUGUCUCACUCCUCCAGUCACCGGUACCCACACCCGACUACAUUGUGCCAGAAGACCUCGGCUAUCACGAACAAACAAGGGAUACUGGCCCUGAAUCCGUCUAUCUUCCAGUUCUUUUUCUUCACGCCAUCGACCUGAGCCUCUUUGAUCAUAUCCAACAAUGGAGAUAUCACCUUCAUCCUCAAACAAACGUUCCCAAUCGGGGAACCCGCUGUCUUGCGGCUAAAAGCAUCAACCACCACAUUGGCCUUCCCGGGAUGGUAUUUAGAGUUUAUAGUCUGCCAAUAUCCAACAUUAUGGAUAUAAAUCUUCAUUUCAAUCAUUUUAUGAGUUUUAUUAGAAGUUUACUAAUAAUUGUUAAGUGUUGAAGAGUACAUUGGAAGUCAUUAAGAACUUAUCGACCAAUGUUGAUUACAUUCCCUAUGGAUAUUAUGACACUGAAUUGGCUUAUCCAUUAAGUCAUAAAUUUUAAAUGAUAUAUGUAAAAUAAUAAUUAUGUUAUAAGGUGUAAAAGUACUUAAAAUAUGCUAAAUAUUGAUAUAUGUGAUUUCUUGAAACAUUAGGUGCAAGUGUAGGGACCAAAUAUGAAAUUUUGGGUUUUCUGGCUAUGUAAGUAAAGUUACAUGGUCGUGUAAUAUCUUUCACAAAUAUUACACAACCUUGUAAUGUUAUAAGAAGAUUUUCUUAUUUAUUCGUAUCUUGAUCUUUGAUCACUUUCAAUACUUCCAAUGGCUUCCAUUUACAAUAUAUAAGUAUAUGAUAAACAUUAUGAGUGUAAGAUAUAAUCAAGUGGAGUAACCACACCAAGUUAUUGAGAUGAGUACUUUUACCUACACUUGUCCCCAUCAUAAUAGUAUUUUUAUUAUGUUUCCAAUUUGUGAUACUAUAUGUAUAUAUAUUGCUUGGAUACUAUAUGAAUAAUGUGUGUCUUCCUUUGCUUGAUGUUGUGGACAUCCUUUAUUAAAUUAAGGACAUUUUUUGAAGGACAUUAUUAAAGGGGUUGUUUCUCUUAUUAGUGUACAUGGGUUCUUAUUCUAUUUUAACUUGGAUUGUGGGUUUAUAUACCCUUGUAUUAGGAUUAUGAGUUGAUAUACUCUUUAUUUGCUUAUAAAUUGGUCUUGGCGUAUGUUUGGAGUAUGACUUAGGAUUAUGUUUUGGAGUAUGAUUAUGAUUACAUGCAUACAUGCAUUUGGUUGGAUUGAUACUUGAGAGGUCCAUAUCUUAGAUAUACUCGAUAAACAAUGGAGAGAAUCUAGAAAUAUUAAGAACGAUAAGAAAGUUUGAAACAUGUUUUACAAUGUCUAAGAAAGUUUAAGAAUGUUGAGAAUUAUUAGAAAGUUUGAGAAAGAUAAAGAGUUAGAGAAAGAUUAUGAUGGUUGAAAAUAAGAUGAUGUGAGAUUAGUUGAGGUUUGGGAGCAUAGUGUUGGAUCUAUAUGUUCAAAAAUCAAUUUAGAAUGAUGUUUGAGAAUAACAUAUGAUCCUAUAAGGUCACCCCUUUAGCAAGUUGUCACUUAUUGAAUAUUUAUUAAGAAUUUGAUUAUUUAUAAACAGAUUCAGCUCUUGUAUUUAAUUAGGAAUAAUUAUUAUUUUAUGAAAAUAAUAUUUCAAGAGAGUAUAAAAUAGUAAUUAAAUCAUAAUGUAUCAUUUAAUAAGUGAUGUACAAGUUUUUGGACUCUUUGAAUUUCACUAUAUAAACUUGUACACAUAGGGAGAUAACACUUGAUGAGUUGGACACACCACAUGGGAUCUUAAAGUGUAUGGGAGGUUGCUUGUAAACUUCUCUUAUAUACAAGUCAUACAUCUAAGAAGCCUUACUUUAGUCAUUAAGUAAAGUAUGCACUUUAGAUGUUAUGUUUGAGUAUAUAAGAAAGACAAGGAUUUCAUUUAGAAGCUAGUCUUUGAUCUCUUCCUUUUUCUCUUAUAAAGUCGUGGGCUUCUUUCCUGGGGCAGCGCCCCUGAGUAUGGGGUUUCCAAAGGGGGAGUGCCCCUUUGGCGGGGUCUAGGGGCAGCGCCCCUAGCGGGGUCCAAGGGGUAGAGGAAAACCAUGACGGCCAACCCUCAGAAGCAAAACCUGAUCUCAUUUAUUAUAAAUAAACGACUCUUCUCUUUGAGAAGACACACGAAAAUCAUUAGCUCUCUUUUUCUUCAGACGAACAUAGAAUCCUUCUAGAAAUUUGGCUUACGAUUUAUGUGCUUAGAUUCGUAAGUGUCCUCUUGGACUAUCCUAGGAAGAAUUUCUUGCAACCCAUGCAUAAGGUAGAAAUAUCAAUUCGGAAAGUGUUCACACAAUCCAAGGGUGAUAGUUCCAUAGUUAUACAUAUUUCUAGGCAGUAUUUUAACACAUUUUAAGCUAUAAUUUGGUUUAUUGCAAAGAUAUUUGGUACUUAUAAUGUUUAAAUUAUCUUUUUCAGCCAAAAGUGGACAUUAUCGAAGAAAAAGAUUGAAACCGACAAAAAGAUGGAUACUUGGAGGUCUGGAGCUGAAAAAGAUACAAAAAUGAUGUUGCUGGACAGCUUGACCCCUUGUCAGUAUUUUGAUCAUAUCUCAUGACUCAUAACUUUGACUGACAAGAUUCUAAAUGAUCUGAAAACUAGACAAAUUUUUGGGCGACUUUCGUUUUUAUUCACAAUGCUAAUUCCUAGUUCUCGUGGCGUGAGGAGUAUAAUCUCACGACAUGAGAUUGAUUCUUCUAGAAGAUAGCUACGCGGAAUAUAGUUUCCUUGCCGAACACGAAUUCUAUUGAGAUCACGACGUGAGAACUUAAUUCUCAUGAUGUGAGACUUAAUUUUUGGAAACUAUAUAUAUCCCUUUGCUCAUUCGACUUAGGGGGUGGGCUUAGACAUAUUUUGGAGAGAUAUUCGAAUUUGGAGGUCAGAAACCUGCGAAAAACAUACUUUGGAAGGAGAGUUUGCUUGAAGAUUAAGAAUUUGAAGAUCAAAUCAUUACAUUCGAUUUGCAUUAAUUAGUUAUGUUGAUUUAUAUUGAAUUAGUGUGUUUUCAGCCAUGAGUAGCUAAAUUUAGCAGCUUUCGUUUAGCUAGAUGAAGCUUUAACUCUAUGGUUUAGUUUAUCAAAUUAUGGGUUUUAAUAGUUGAUUUUAUGCUUGUGUUUGAUUAUCUUUACCUAGCAUGUUAAUAUUUGAUACUUUGAUUGCUUGAAUUCAGGUUCUGUGUAGCUUAGUGACCAUUAAAUUACAUGAACUUGAUACAAAGUAGUUUAGUGACUAUUAAAUUGUUAGAACUAGGAGUGACCACAUCUAGAUCAAGUAAUAAAAGUAACAAACUUAGUUGUUUUGGAGAACAUAAUUGUGACCAUAAUUGUGUUUGGUUAAUUGCUUAGAUAAAUCAUACAUAACCCAUCUAUAAUUAAUAACUAAGUCUGUGUUUUGCUUAUGUAUGACCAUACAAGGUAGUUCAUGAAUUGGUGAAAAUAUUAGUAAAUUUGGACUUGAAUUGCUAAUUACAUAAUAACUGGUAACCAACUUUAAUAAUCCAUAAAUAAUAACUAACCAUAGAGAAGAAGUGGAUUCGAACUAAACGAAAGUGUUUUUAGUAUAUUGAUUAAAAUCGUUAGUUAAGCGUUUAAGUUUGUUUGAACUUGAAAAAUCAUGUAAAACCCCCUUUUUGACUUUUGCUUGUUUUUAGAUUAAUCUAUUAGUAGUUAGGUUAGUAAAUUAAAUCCAUUCCCUGAGUUCGAUACUCGACUUUUGUGCUAUAUUGUUUGCGAAUAGGUACACUGCCUUAAGUCGUAAUAGUUAGUUAAAUAGUUGGUAAAACUAGUAGGUAUGAUAUCACGUAUCAAGUUUUUGGUGUCGUUGCCAAGGAACAUCUAUUUAGCUUAAAAUUUAUUUGCUUUAGAAUAAUAGAUCCUUUUUGUGGGGUGAAACCUGCAAAAAGUUAAAUUCUAGCAUUAGAUUUUUAUUUAGAAGUGAACUCACGACGUGAGCCCUAAGCUAACGACAUGAACUCAGUAGUAUUAUGUUUUUUCGUUUUUUGUUUCUUUUUAGAUUUUCUACGACAACAUGAGGUAGUGCUCUUUACCACGUCGUGGUGAACAGUCAGUAGGCGUUUUUAGUUCGUUUUUGUUCAAUUUUAUGUUUUUUUUUGUUGCAGUAGUACAUGACCCAUGGAUCCAACACACCUUUGAUACCACCACUUGAUUAUCCAGAGUCAGCCCUUCACAAAAAAAAAUGGAUAAAAACGUAAGAGAAACCAACCCGCCAAAGAAGUCGCCUUUUAAAGAUCUUAAAUCAGUUUUUGGAAAGAAGAAAGGGAAGAACGUAGGAGAGUCAAGCAAUCAAAAGAAGGACGAGAACAAGAUUGAAAGCUUUAAGCAAAAUCUUAAUCCACAAGAUUCUGAUUAUGAGACUGAACCUGAAUUCGAAUUAGAAAGAAAUGAACCUAGAAGACGAUCCGAAAAACAAGAUGGUAAACAUUGCGGAUAUGUCUAUGGAGGCAUACAAGAAGAGAAUCUGAGAGGACACCGGUCCCGGUAUAGUGCAACCUACAAUUCCAGCUGCAACAACAUUCGAGCUGAAGGGACACAUUCUGUCCGCGCUUAAGGAAGUUCCAUUUUUUGGGAAAUAUCAUGAGGAUGCUUACAAACACCUUGAUGAAGUCAAUGACAUUGUUGAUUACUUCAACAUCCCAAAUGUUCCACACACUACAGUUUACUUAGAAUGCUCCCUUUCACUUUCAAGGGAGCUGCAAAGGAUUGAUUGAAGGCACUUCCACCCGGUGCAAUUACUACUUGGGCGCAAAUGCGUGAGCAAUUUUUAUAACACUUUUUCCCACCUUCAAAAGUUUCUAAACUCAAUAAAUUCAUAGCAAAUUUCGAGAAACAACCGAGUGAGUCACUUUACGAAGCAUGGGAAUGCUACAAAGGAUUGAUAAGAAAUUGUCCCUAAAAUUGUUUGAAUGAACAACAAGAAGUAUCUAUCUUUUACGAUGGGGUUAAUUUCAUGAAAAGGCAACUCCAUGAUUCUCAAGGACCGCUAACCAAAAAAAAAUCCAGCAGAAAUCAAGGAAUUAAUUGAAGAGUUUUCCAAGCAUUCGCGUGAAUAUCACAAUCCUAGACAUGAUGGAGCGAAAGGAAUUGGGGUGGCACUUCUAAAGAUAUGGAUGUGAUCUAGCUAUGCUAAACACUAUGGACCGAAGGAUAACAAAGAUGGACCAAUCCAUACAUGCUAUUCGAUUUGGUAGUGAAAGAUGAAAUGGUCCUCAUUUAACCAAAGAUUGCCACUUGGAUGAGAACGGGAAUAAGAAGGAUCAAGUUUGUUACUCAAGUGGAGAUAAAUAUGAUGAAGAUUGAAGGAUGUCAAAGAAAGAGUGGUUGCCAUAUGACGGAUAUAAGAAGUAAAAAGAAGAAAACUAUAGGCAGACUGGUUGAGGCUUCUACCAAAAAGAGAAACCACCACCUGAAAAGAAAGUUGAUCUUGAGUCCAUGUUAACCAGAUUCAUGGAGGCUUCGGAGAAAAGACAUGAUGAGACCGAUGCGGUAAUAAGAGACCAUCAAAAUCUCAUGAGGGACCAUCAAGAUUUGCUAAGAAAUCAUCAAGCAUCGAUCCAAAACAUCGAAGCUCAACUUGGACAAUUAACAACUUUGGUUAAUGAAAGAUUAUCUCCAAAAAUUUCCGACAAAAAGCCUCAACCGCAAGUAAUGGUGAUCGAUACUGAAUAAGAUACGAUCUCUGAGUUCCUUGAAGCCCUUGAAGUCGAGCCGCAUCAUCCUGGACCACAGCCGAAGAAUUCAAAGAUCGAAGAAAUAUUUAUCUCUGAAACAUCGAACUCACAACGUGAGCAUCCUAAGCUAACGACGUUGUGUAAGUCUGAUCAAAAUAUUUUUGCUGAUACUCGAGUUUAUCGUCCUCCUAUUCCGUUUCAUUCUCAAGUUAAGAUCCAUCCACUGGAGCAGGAACAUUUGAAAUUUAUGAAGCAAGUAAAGGAUAUUCCAAUAAACACUCCUUUUAUUAAGUUGCUAUCCCAAGUUCCUAAAUAUUCUAAGAUUUUACAAGACUUACUCGAUACCCGCCAACAGUUAGAGAAGAAUUCCAAGGUGAUCCUUAGUGAGCAGAAUUCUAGAGUGAUAAUAGGCGAAUUACCAAAGAAAAUGGGAGACUCUGGGGGCCUCACUCUUCCGUGUGAAUUUGGAAAUAAGAUGAAGACUUAUGCUUUAGCAGAUUCUGGAGCAAGCAUAAAUUUAAUGCCUUUCUCAUUCUAUCAAAAGUUAAUCUUCCAUAUUUGAAGGCUACUUGAAUGACGAUUCACAUGAUUGAUCGUUCAGUGACUUAUCCUUGAGGCAUAGCUGAGGACAUAUUGGUAAAAAUUGGGAAAUUUGUUUUUCCAAUUGAUUUUGUUGUUUUUGAUAUGAAAGAAGAUACCAAUGUCCCAAUAAUUCUUGGUCUCCCUUUACUCAAUACUGCUAGAGCCUUGGUAGACAUUCGUGAAUCUAAACUUGCUUUGAGAGUUGGAGAUGAAGAAGUUACCUUUGGAGUGGAAGAUGAAUUUCAAAACGAUUGUGCUCAAGGUGAGGUAUUCAAUAUAGAUAAAAGAAUAAGCUUUAAGAAUUAGAAAAAUUAAUGGAAGAAGAAAUUCAGUCAAUUAAACAAGUCAAACGUACAAAGCCAAGAGGCAAGAGCAUCCAUUCCAGCAGUUUUUGAACUGUUUGCUUAUAAAACUCCAACAUCUUGGGUGAGUAAAGAGAGUGAUGAAGACUUAGUGUCUAGUGAUGAGGAAGAGGCUACUUCAGAAUUAGAACAAUUAACAAUGGAAAAGAAGGUUAUACCUAUGGAGUUAAAGAGUGAAGAAAGAGCGGAACCGAAACUUGUGGUGAAUAAAGGGGUAAAAAGAAAGCUUGAAGAGGGUGAUUCGAAGGGUAAAAAGGAAAACUCUAAAAAAUCUUAUCUUAGGAGGGUGCAAGCUUACAUGAAAAAAAUGGAAGGUUCAAAAGGUGGAAAUGGUGAUGGACACUCCUGAAAGUUCAACGUGAGGUGGCACGGAGUCCGACUCAUGACUCCAACAAAAAGAGGCGCUUCUUGGGAGGCAACCCGAACUCAGUUUGAAAUUUCUCUUUUUGUUUGUUUGCAUUUUUUUCCAUUUUAAUUCAAUUUAUGAUAUUUAUCAUCAAGUCAUCUAAAUUAUUUUAGAAAAUAGCUAAAAUCAAGUGUGGGGUUCAUAAAUAUUGAGUGGUGAAUUUUUAUAGAAGUAUUAAGAAAAAAAUGGAUAUUUUUAACAAUUAAACCUCGAUAACAAGUCGUGGUCCAAAGCCCACUUUCUAUUAAAUGGAAUUGGCCCAAUUAUUUAGCUCAGGCAGAACUCACAACGUGAGCCUUACAAAAAAUGGGACCACAACUUUAAACAAAUCAGAUGAACACUUUAAACAUCUUUUCUUCUUAACCCUUGAUGUGAACUCAUCCUUUGGUCCCCCUCACUCAAUUUCGGUUGUUUUAUUUACAAAACAUCUUCUCUCUUACAUAGUCUUCACCAAAGGUAAACACUUCAUGUUCUUAACUCCUUAUUUUGACCAAUUUUAUAGAUUUAGGGGUUAGGUUUUAUGUCAUAUUUGAAAUUACCCCCGAUUUUCUAUGAAAUUUGACUUGUAUGUUCCUGAUUUAUGCUUAUAAUAACUAUAAGACAAAACCCUAUGUGUUAAUUGGACUUAUUUUUCACUAAAAUUGGUUCGGUUUUGAACCCUUGACGACCUGCCUUUGAACCAAACUCACGACGUGAGUUUUGAUACCCACAAAGUGAGAAUUGCAUUGCAGUUAUAAUCUGAUUUCUGUUAAGGGUAAUGGCUGUUGUGGUUUGGUUUUGUUGUUUUACUCUUUUUGCAUAAUAUGGGUCCAAGAAGGAAUGUGCAGGAAGCAUAAGGAGAUGUUUCUAAUAUGCAUUUGUUCUAUGCAUUCCCUACUAACGUAUCUCAAGAGGUGCAUAAUCGGUAUAUUAACAUAUUGUGGUGGCUACAUAGUCGCGAGUUUGCUAUAGCGCCAACAAUAAAUUGGAACAAGUGGAGGGAGGUUGGAUUACUUUACCGAUUGAGCCCUUUUCUCACUAAAACAUUUGUGGGGAGCAGGAUAACUUUCACGUGCAAGGGAUGGGGCAACCUGUUGGCAAUUCAGGAGCGGGUUUACAAGGAUUUGUGUGUAGAGUUUUUCUCAACAGUGGUAUUUCAAGAUAAUAUGGAAGACCCAAAUUUCCCACAAGCUCUAGUUUUUUGUUUAGUAGGGGAAUACCGGGAAUGUAGCCUUUCCGAAUUUGCAUGGAGAAUGAGUUUGUAUGAGGCACAUGAAACAAUGACACCGGUAUUUGCUGCAUUAUUACGGGCUGUUGUAAGGGAAUAUUUUGGGGGUGUAUCCAGGUAUGAAUUUUGGAGUAACAUUUCUGUGAGGAACUUCAAUUUGGGUGUUUCUCCCGAAAGCAACAUUAGAUCCCGAUCUAUCACCUUAUCCACCACCUCAUCACCUUUUCUAUUCACCACAAGAAGCACGAGGAUAAAGUCGCAAAAUUUAAUUUGUUCUUUUGUGGACCAUCUUGGCACCUGGAGUAUGUUGCAACAUACCUUACUUUUUGGCAAGGUAUUUAGCAGAGCACGCGGUCAGUUCUCGGGUCGGGAGCCUGAUAUGUGGUGGACAUUUUGUGACCCGUUUGGCACGUUCUUACGGAGUCAUUAUUCCCGGGAUCACUAUGAAUCAUACAUGUAAAGAGGGGAAUGAGUUUUAUCUGGGUUAUUUAAAGAUAAUGCGGGUGGUGGUUAAUAUGGGUAUACAUUGGAGUAUACCAAAUGAUGAUGAAGAGGAUGUUGAGCAACAAUAGGAACAACUGCGACAGAGAGGAAGGCGCAAUGUUAGAGCCCGAGGAGAGGGCAGCCAACCACAACAACACCCUCCAUCAUUCGAGGGUGGAGUACCAACCGACCCAUUUCAAAGUCAGGUCGGUACUUAUUUAGACAAUCUCCGAGGGGGUGUCAACUACCACAACCAAGUUAUCGAUGUUUUGUUUAUGCAUCUGCAUGUAGAGCAGCCACCAACAAUGCCACCUCAAUAUCCUUAUAUUACGAUUUGGGAAGAGUUAUGGAUGCAACGCUGAGAUGGAGCCAAAGUGAGUGGAACACAUGAGGAGGAGGAAGAUGAUUGAUAUUUAUCCUUUUGUUUUGUUUUUGUCAUUUUCUUUAGUCUUUCUUACUUUUGGUGUGUUUGAUUUUGUUUUUGUUUGGUUUGAUUAUAUAGAAAAACUUUGUUAUGACUAUGUUGCUUCCUUUCACAUAUUGGAUGUUUGUUGACAUAAAAUCUUGCGAGUAAAUUGAGAAAUAGAGAUAUAAGAGUGUAUACGAGUUAAUCCAAGUUGUUUAGAGUCGAGAGUCGAAACUCAUAAUUUUUAAUAAGUUUGGGGUUAAUCGUGAGAGAAACAAGAUUAGAGAUGAGGAAAGAGUCAAGAAAUUAUAGAGUUUUUAGAAGGGUCUUAAUCUAGUAAGACAAUGGUUGCAUUGCACUUUUUGGAAGAAUUCUUUACAAAACUACAUCCUGUGAGAAUUAGUUCUCACGACGUGAGCAUUUAUCUCUCACGUCGUGAGACUAUUAUCAACACUUUUCAGAAAUCGAUUUAAUACGACAUCACGCCGUGAGACCCAUAUUUCUACAAUUUGGAAGCCUUUUAUUACAUAUUUAUUUCAUGGAUCACUAUUAUCAUGAUUGAACAUAUCAUGAAGCUGGUUAUGACUCUUUCGCUCAACCAUAAAAUGUGGUGUAUGCUUACCCACAUUAAUGAAUUAUGCUUUGAAGAUUUUUCUACACUACACUUGUUGAAGAUUCAAGUCUCGGAUUCACAUUUUGCCAGCACAUUCACAUAUAUCAUUUGUUGAAGAUCCAAGUUCCAUUCUCCAUAAUUGAAGAUGUCCAUAUUCAAGAUGUUUGAAGUUUUCCACACGCGUGAAGAAAUCGAUCUCGCCAUAUUAUCCCAGGGGAGUCUGUUCUGUUUUCUCCCUUUUCUUGUUUUUAAAUUAUUUUAUGUAUACAAUGAGGGCAUUGUAUGUAAUAAGUGUGGGGUAGGGGGUCAAAAAAGAAAAUUGCUAGAAAAUUUUAAAACUUAAAUUUAGAAAAAUUAGAAAUAGAUUUGGAAUAAUAAUCUAAAAUUUGAAUCUAAUAAUAGUUUACACUUAAGUUGCUAGUGUUGCGUGGGAUGAUCCGAUGCGAGCUCAAUUGUUUAAUUGAGCCAACACAUGUUAUAGUAUAUUUGUGGCCUCCUGUAUCCUAGUGAAAAGCCAUAAGAUAUGAAAGGUAAUCUGGUAGUUUUUAUGGCAUAAAACGUUUUGCAGACUGCACGUUAAAUCUAUCCAGGAGAGCUUAUGUAGUCAUUACACUUGGACUAAUACAUCUAACCAAUAAAGGUUGAAGUUAAGAUCCAUUGAUUAAGCUUGUAGAUAUUGAGCGGAAAAAGUGAGAUAUGCAAAAAAAGGAGAGAGAAAUUACCAAAAAGUUGUUGGAAGAAUUUUGGAGCUAUCAAGCAUGAAGAUCAAAUGAUCAAAAUUCUAAAGAAUCAAAAGUGAAGAUACCUCAAAUCAAACAAAAAGGUGGUAACUUAAAAGAAAUAAAAGAUUAAUUAUUCAAAGGAGUGAAGAAUUCCAAAGAGCUCCAUUGUGGUAUCUAAAUUUGUAAUUUUUCUAGAUUAUGUAUGCUUGGGUAGCUUAACUAAAAAUACUUUGAGGUUAAGAAAGAUUUCUGAGGAUGGAUUCGGAGGGUUGCAAAAAUGAGUGUCGUAUAAGCUAAUAGGUGAAGGUUCAUAAGGAAUGUGGGUAUUUAGGAUUGAGAAGUUUUUAGGAACCUUAGACACAAAUAUGCGCAUUGAGGUCUUGGUUAAAUGGUUGAGUUCAAAAUGGAUUGUCUUAUGUGAUAUUGGUGAUGAAAGUUAGACUUAAAAAAUUAGUUUUGCUUGGGGCAAGCAAAAGAUAAGUGUGGGGUAUUUUGAUAGUGUCAUAGUUAUACAUAUUUCUAGGUAGUAUUUUAACACAUUUUAAGCUAUAAUUUGGUUAAUUACAAAGAUAUUUGGUACUUAUAAUGUUUAAAUUGUAUUUUGCAACAAAAAGUGGACAUUCUGAGAAGAAAAAGAUUGAAACCGACAAAAGCUGGAUAUUACAUACAAGUGUCAUGGGCUACCCCCACGGUCUUUCAUAUAAUCGCCAGGGGCCAAAUCCUGGUCUUUCAUGCAAGCAUCACAGAGAUAACUAGCAUUCCACAUAACAAGUAAUGGGCCAACAUUAGUGACUUCGACCCAUGGAUAUAGUGAGAAAACUCACAUCACAAUCUGAAAGAAUAGAUGCACCGAUCACUACUCUAAAAGCUAUCUCUACCGGUCACCCACACAAUUAACAAGAAUCCAAAUCUCAAACUAUAAAUCAAAUUACCCAAAAUGCCCUUGGGUCAAACUUGGUCAACCCUGGUCAAAGUCAAAGUCAACGGUCAAGCUCACAUUCCACCAGGUACGCCCAGUGUAUGCAGCCCCGUCCCAAAACUCCAUUAAGAGCUUAUUCCAUUAAUCCCUUACAUCCAAAACUCAGAUCCAUGCCCAAAAUGAUAUCCUAAGCCAUAAAGUUUCCAACUUUAUGACUUUGCAUGGCUAUAAAGUGCUUAAUGACCAAAACCUUAAGUUCUUAACCCAAUAAGACAUCAAAACUCUUGUAUGGAAGGGAUUCAAGGGCCAAGAUCACAUUUUUAUGGUUCAUAAUAGUUCCAUAAUGGAUAAAGUUUCCAACUUUAUCCAUUAAAAUGGUCCCAACAAACAAGAACUAGUCUUUAAGUCUCAAAUGGACCCAAAAGUGCAUUUUUUUUCAACUUAAUCCAUUAAGUACAAGUUUCCAACCUUCAGAUCUGAAUCAAAAUGAUGUUUAGAUGGAUAAAGUUUCCAACUUUAUUCAUAACAAGGUCACAAACUUUCAAGAUCUAAUCUUUAUGCACUUAAAGUGACCAAAAGCUCAUAACACCCAAAACUAGCUAGAUCUAACAAUUUCAUCAUCAACAUUCAAACUUUAUACCUCUAGAAGAAAGAUCAAGGUGAAUAAAGUUUGGAUCUACAAGCUCCAAUGCAACCACCGCUUCUUCAAUAAGUUCCUUCUUCUCCAAGGUGCACCAAGAACACUCCAAGGCACUUAAAACACCUUUUUUUGCUCACGAGGCUCAAUCUAGCUAGGGUUAUGGUUACAAGAAAGGGUGUUGGAGAGGUGGAGGAUGAGAAUGGAAUGGGUUUGGGGGAGUUAAUGAGCUUAAAUAGGGCUCAAACCAUGAAAAUAGGGUUUGGGCACUGAUCGCGUACGCCCAUCAUACUAAAUUUACGCCCAACGUAUGCGACCGAACCAAAUAUCGUCCUAACUUCAAACGGUCAUAACUUCUUCGUUUCAACUCCAUUUUCGACGUUCUUUAUAUCCACGGAAAGGUAUUGAAGAGCUCUACAAUAUUCUCUAAAUAUAUUAGACUAAAAACUUCUUGAAAAAAAAAUCUAUAUUUCAUGCAAGAACCCGACCUAUGACUUUUCCCGUUUUACCCUUCGACUCUAAAACACAAUUCAAGGAUUUAGAUCUCAUAACCAUCAUUACCUCCUUCCAAAAGAUCUAAACAUCGUCUCCUUAAGGCCCAAAUCCUUUACACAAUCGACUUCCGGCCCAUGGUCAUGAAUCACAGAAUGAUCCCGAACAUGGUGUUACACAACAUUUGUUGAGUUACACAUGAGCUCCAACAAUUGAUGGACUACUUUUACCAUGAGAAUGGAGUGAGUGUCGAGUGGGGAUAAGAAAGGAGGGAAGAAGGGAGGAGGAAGAAAGAGAGACGACAUGCCACUGUCGAGUUACCCUUUCGAGCUCGGCAUGUCGAUUUUAGGAGUCGGUGUUCCUCGAAUCCACAUCAAAUAUGCUGAGCCAUUCUAAACUCCACUUCGUCGGCCCUUAUAUAGAUAAUAGUUUUUGAAAAACAAUUCAAACAAAAAAAUACAAAUAAUAUAAUAAUAAAAUAAUCAUUAUAAAAUAUAUGUACUAAAUAAAUACAUUAUCAUAAGUCAUAACAAUAAAAUAAUCUUGUGAGCCAAAUCUACAAAGAAGAGACUAGAGAGUGCCUGUGCGUGGAGCAUGGGGAAAUGUUGUGCGCGUGAAUGAUUGUGAAUAUUUUAACAGGGAACCGGCUAAACAAGUAAAUUGAUUUGUCCGUACAGUGCCGUACUGAUAAGACGCCGCAUUCAUAGUCUUUAUAGGUACGGUUUAGAUAAAGAUUAAAUGAUUAAUAGAUUCCAACAGUUUUUAAAAGAGAUAUUUUAUUGGGUUAUUUCUAAGAUUUAUCAUUUACAUACACAGACAAUGCAAAUUAAUCGCCGCGAAGUACUUAUAUUAGGGAAGUUUUAGUUUCCAUAAUGAAACUCCCGUAAUCAAAUCUUCUCAUUAGUUGACAUAAUAAUAAUAAUAAUUGAGUAAUCUAACUAAUAAAAAUAAAAAUAAAUUAAAUAUUAUCCUACUUUUGUUCCUACAAAUCUUCCUAUCCAAUUAAAUGAUAACGUGUGCCAUUUUAGUAUAUUAAAAUAUAAUUAAACUAGGUGUGAGACGCGUGCAUUACACAUGUUUAUUAAAAAAAUAUAAAUUUAUAAACCUUAGGCAAUUUAAAAAGUACUAAUUUUAUAUAUAUAUAAAAAGUUUUGAUGAAUAAGUAUAUAAAUGAAUACAAAGUAAUACAAAUUUAUGUAAAAAUAAAUUCAAAUCGAAAAAAGUUACUGUUAUGUAAAUAAUGAAAAUAAAAAAGGAAAACAAAUAUGCUGAGAAAUUUGAUGGUAUUUAUUAUAAUUUAUUUUAAGAAUGAAUUGAAUUAAUCAAAUCAAUGAUUUUCACUAAAAAUAAAAUGGAACCAAUAAGCAAAUUAUAUGUAGAAAACAAAUAAAUCAAAAAUUAUGAGAAAAUUACAUGGGGCAGAUUAAAUGAGAAGAUGACAUGUGACAAUAAGAUCUUUAAUUAUUAGAGAAGAUAACAAUAAUUGUGAUACGUGUCAUCAUUUAAUUAGGUUGGAAAAUUUGUAAGAACAAAAAGUAGGAGAAUAUUUAAUUUCUCAUAAAUAAAUGAUAUAUUCAGAAAAGUCUCAAUAUUUUGAGAAUUUUUUAAUAAAAUCAUAAAAUUUAUUUUUUGAACAGAAAAAUCCCGACUUUUUAACUUUUUGAAUGGAAAAGCCCAAAAAACCGACUAAUUUAUACACUUUAACUCUUUUGACCGGUUUAGUAGGUCAUGGUAGGGGUGUUCAAAAAUAUCCGUAUCCGAAAUUCCGAUCCGAAAUUCCGAAAUUCCGAAUCCGAAUUAUCCGAAAAAUCGGAUAUCCGAAAUUUCGGAUAUCCGAAAUUUCGGAUAUCCAAUUUUUCGGAAUCGGAAUUGGAUAAUGCUUUUCAGAUUUUUCGGAUAAUUCGGAUAUCCGAUAUCCGAAAAUUUUGGUUUUAUUUUAUACAUUAUUUGUUAUUUUAGUCGCAUAUGUCUUAUGAUAUGAAUUUUAGUAACUAAAACAUAUUGAUAACACCCUUAAUUAAAUACCUAUAUUACUUCAUAUGCCUUUCUAAUUUAAAAAUAUGUAUUUUUAACUUAAAAACUUCAUAUGUUUUUCAAAUUUUAACAAAAUUUCAAUUUUUCGGAUAUCCGAUUUGGUAUCCGAUUCCGUAUCCGAAAUUUUGGAUAUCCGAAAUUUCGGAUACGGAAUCAGAUACCAAAUCUCAACUAUCCGAAAUUUCGGAUAUCCGAAAUUCGGAUAUAAAACACCCCUAGGUCAUGGGACCAAAUCCUUAAUUUUUCCAAAAUAAUGGUACUUUUCUGCAGAUUUCUUCAAAACUUGUAUUUAAUGUAUAAACAUAUUUUUUACGUAUUUAUAUCUAUUUUUAUGUAUUUAUGUACUUUUUAAAGCUUUUAUAUGUAUAUGUUUACGUAUUUUUAUGUACUUUAAAUGUAUAAACAUCUUUUUACGUAUUUAUGUAUUUUUAAUUAUUUUACAUAAUUUUUUAUGUAUUUCUAUGUGUUAUUUUUUAUGUAUUACGUAUUUAUAUCUAAUUUUAUAUAUUUAUGUAUUUUUUUAAAGUUUUUAUAUGUCUGUGUUACAUUUUUUUUAUGUAUUUUUAAACAUAUAUAUUUUUCUACGUAUUUAUGUAUUUUUAAGUAGUUUACAUAUUUUUUUAUUUAUUUUAAGGUGUUAUUUUUUUAUGUAUUACGUAUUUAUAUAUAUUUUUAAUUUUUUUAUAUAGAUGUUUAUGUAUUUUUAAUGUAUAAACGUAUUUUUAUGUAUUUCUAUGUGGUUUUUUUAUGUAUUAUGUAUUUAUAUAUAUUUUUACAUAUUUAUGUGUUUUUUAUAUAGAUGUUUAUGUAUAUUAAAUGUAUAAGUGUAUUUUUUUACGUAUUUAUGUAUUUUUACUUCAUGUCGUCUUCACCAUUUCAUCCGAUUGGUAUAGCUUCUUCGAAUAUGUAUAGAUGAUUUCCUACACACCCACAUAUUCUAAGUUUUUCUCAUUCGCUUAUCUAGAAAUUAAACAUCAAAUGAGAAAAGCUAAAAAUAUGUAGGUAUGUAGGAAAACUAUAUAGACAUAGUCGAAGAAGUUGUGAGAAUUAGAUAAAAUGGCGAAGACGACUUGAAGUAAAAAAUACAUAAAUACGUAAAAAUAAUACGGUUAUCCAUUUAAAAUACAUAAAUAUCUACAUAAAAAAACUAAAAAAUACAUAAAUGCAUAAAAAUACAUAUAAAUACAUAAUAUAUAAAAAAUACACAACAUAUGUAAAAUACUUUAAAAUACAUACAAAUACAUUUAUACAUUUAAAAUACAUAAAAACACAUAAACAUCUAUAUAGAAAACUUAAAAAAAAUACAUAAAUAUGUAAAAAUACAUAUAGAUACGUAAUACGUAAAAAAACACUUAAAAAUAUACUCCCUCCGUCCCAAAUUAAUUGUCAACUUUUGACUUUUGAAUUUUUUUUUUCAACUUUGACCUUAGAUAUUUUUAUUUGUGUUAUAUAUUCAGGGCCAACUUUAGUGCUUAUUAAACUAGGCAAGGGCUUAGGGCCCACAGUUCUAAAGGGCCCCUAAUUUUAAAUCUUAUUCAUUAAUUCUUCUCCAGAAAAAGUCUCGAUCAUUCCAUAGUUAUGCUCGCCUGUGGGAAGUGACGAUUCAGUUUCCAGAAACACGUUGAAAAAACACAGCUUUCUGUUGAUUAGUCAGUUCUAGUGUUCUUCUAAGUUCAAAUCUUCUUCCUACUUGGCUCGACAGCUUCUCCUCUUGUCCUCUACUCCUCCAAUCUCUAAUUUUGAAUUUAGUCUGAAAUUGAAAUGCAUAAACACAACAUCCUUCUCUGUUCUUCCUUUUGUUCUACAUUCUCUGAUUCUGUGAUUGUGAUUCUCCACUGUUAGGGGCGUCAAGAGGAUAAGACCUCAAUUUUCAUUAUCUAUACUAACAGAUGCUAUAUAAUUUUGUUAAUAGUUCAUAUCUUUUUACCUACCAUUAUAAUGAUUUUUAUGAGUUUGAUUUGUAGCAAUAGUCUAUCUAUAUGCUUUUGUGGUAUAAAGUUUAACUAGGUAAUCAAAAGCUUCUAAAAGUCUAUUAGUGAUAUUGAUUAGAAGCUAAAAUCAUAACUCAGUCUUUUGAAUAAUCAAUAGGGACGUUGGAUAAGUAACACGGAUACAUCAUCUUGAUCAUUAUAAUGGAAUCCUAAGAAACUGUGGCUCAAUUAUCCCCACAUAACCAUUUUUUACUAGCAAUUUGAUUAUCUACAUCCAAAUUUAACCGAAUGCCUUCUGAACUCGUGUACCAGUUAGAAGAUAGAUAACAAUUAGCAAGUGAAGUUAUAGCUACCUAUUGUGAACUUUACUAGUUGUACAAUCGAUAUGGAUGUUGUAUAGUAACAAGGAUACACCAUCUUGAUUAUUAUAAUGGAAUCCUAAGCAACUAUGGGCCAAUUAUCCCCAUAUAAUCAUUUUUUAUUCUUACUACCAAUUCUAUUAUGAUGCAAUUCACUGAUGCAAAUAUUAGUUGUACAUUAACUGGUACAUUAACUUGUAUAUUAAAUGUCUUUUUUUGACUUACAGCUUUUACAUGUUUUUUAUACAGGGGCGAUUCAAGUUCUUGGAACGAAUUUCAGUUUUUAGUUUUGAGUUUAAUUUCCAUUUGACUUAAUGUAUCAAACAUGCUAGCAGUAAGUAUUAUCUUUAAUCCAUAAUCUAUUACUUCUAGUUUACUUAUUGUUUAUUUGUAGUUGUGUCUUGAUGAUUGUUAUUAUUAAUAAAAUUAUCAAGUUUGAAUAAAGGAUGAGGGUUUAUAACGUUGAGUAGAGUAAAGGGUAAAGGGCCCCAAAUUUUUGGUUCGGUUAGAGCCCUCAAACUGGUUGAGCCGCCCAUGUAUAUAUUACUUGAUAAAACUUAUAACAAUGAAAAAACAUUUAAAAUACAAUCCAUUCAUAUAUUUUGCAUCAAAUAUUGUCUAUCAAAAACAAAUAUAUUUAAAAUCAAAGUUGAAGAAUAAAGACUUCAAAAGUCAAAUAUGGACAAUUAAUUUGGUACGGAGGGUGUAUAAAAAAAAUAUGUAAAAUACUUAUAAAUACAUAUAAAUAUGUAAAAACUACAUUUAUAUAUUUAAAAUACAUAAUCAUCUAUAUAAAAAAAACUUUAUAAAAUCAUAAAUACGUAAAAAUACAUAUAAAUACGUAAUACAUAAAAAUACAUACAAAAAUAUGUAAAAUGGUAAAACUACAUAGAAAUACGUAAACAUAUACAUAUAAAAACUUAAAAAAAAAAUACAUAAAUACGUAUAUAUAUANNNNNNNNNNNNNNNNNNNNNNNNNNNNNNNNNNNNNNNNNNNNNNNNNNNNNNUAUGUGUAUAUAUCAUAUAUAAAAUUUGACGAAAUCUGCAGAAAAGUUCUAUUAUUUUAAAAAAAAUUAACUAUUUUGUCUCAUGACAUGCUGAUCAGGUCAAAAGGAUUAAAGUGAAUAAAUUAGUCGGUUUUUUGGACUUUUCUAUUAAAACAUUAAAAAAAUCGGGACUUUUCUGUUCAAAAAAUAAAAUUUAUGACUUUAUUAAAAAAUUUCCCAAAAUAUUGGGAUUUUUCUGCGAAAUUUCUCUAUUAAAUUGUUGUUGUUGUUGUUGUUGUUAUUAUUAUUAUUAUUAUUAUUAUCCUCUCUGAUAAAUGAAAGUUUUUUUUUUGAUACAUGUCUUCUUCUCAUUCAUUUUGUCAUAUUACUUUUUUUGGGUUUUUUUUUUCAUUUUCUUAUUUUCCACUUGUUCUUUUUUAAAGUUUUUCAUUUCUUACAUUAAAUUUUCAGAAUUUAUGAUUAUAUAUAUGGAAGGUUCUCAUUAUAUUCAUGUAAGGUUAUCAUUUUAUUAAUUUGAGAAUAAAUUCACAUAACUUUUACAAACUCAUUGAUUUACUUUCUUUUUUCAAUUACUUUAUAAAAUGUUUAAUGUUUACAUAAUGAUAUUAAACUUUUUAUUUUUAAUAAAUCCAUGUAGUAUACGGAUCUCACACCUAAUUAUUAUUAUAUUAAACAUAAAACAAAAAGUAUGACAAAAUAGUCAUGUAGGGCAUCAUCAACAUGGCUAAGUGAAAGAGAAAUUACCAAUAAUACGAGGAAAUGAAUUCAAUCCAAAAGAAACCAACAAAUCCUUUUGUACAUUUAAUCAUGAUUUUGGUUUUGUGAUUGAAAAAAGAAAAAAGUUAUCCAUGUUGACAUUACCCCUAUAAACAAAAACCAAAGUUAGGUUCUUAAACAUGAAAUUAAUUAAAUAAAUUGAGAAAGGGAUCGGGCUCUGAUACCAUAUGAUGAGAAUUAAUGGUCACGUCAAAUGAUUUUUCAAUAAAUUCAAUACAAUCUCAUAUUGAUAGAACUUACCUAGUGUAAAAAGAUGUUAAUUCCAUCGUCUUGUUGCCUUAUCAUCAAUGAUUCGCCAAGAUCAUACACUCUUAUAAUGAAGAAAUUAUAGGCAAUCGGUUAAGAUUCUUAGGGUGUUGUGUUAUGAAGAGAAAGAUGAAGAUACAAUCAUAAUCCAAUAAAUCGAUUGCAUAUA
rnacentral:lncRNA from 1 species